rnacentral:misc_RNA from 1 species
GGGGAGGUUGCAUGUUGCCUCUAGGGUAUCCGAAUUGUGGCGCCGGAGCCUGUCUGGGUCCUGGGAAGGGCUGCUCCAACGGCGGCUGUGGCGUCAUGCCGCCGGGCUGCAGAUGUGCGAAUUGCGGAGGAGGGCGCAUGGGCACCGAGGACACUUGAUGAGAUCCCGGCAUGCCGGACAUAGGAGGACCGCGCAUGGGAGGCGGCGCAUUGGGAGGAAACCGGGGACCCGGCUGGGCGGCGUAGGAUGGAGGCGGCGCAGUUGGAGGAAACCGAG